UACGUAGGGUGCGAGCGUUGUCCGGAAUUAUUGGGCGUAAAGAGCUCGUAGGCGGUGUGUCGCGUCGGCCGUGAAAACCUGGGGCUUAACUCUGGGCGUGCGGUCGAUACGGGCAUCACUAGAGUUCGGCAGGGGAGACUGGAAUUCCUGGUGUAGCGGUGAAAUGCGCAGAUAUCGGGAGGAACACCGGUGGCGAAGGCGGUUCUCUGGGCCUUACCUGACGCUGAGGAGCGAAAGCGUGGGGAGCGAACAGG
rnacentral:rRNA from 1 species